rnacentral:rRNA from 1 species
UACGAAGGGGGCUAGCGUUGUUCGGAAUCACUGGGCGUAAAGGGUGCGUAGGCUGCGCGGAAAGUUGGGUGUGAAAUCCCUCGGCUCAACCGAGGAACUGCGCCCAAAACUACCGUGCUCGAGGAAGAUAGAGGUAAGCGGAACUUACGGUGGAGCGGUGAAAUGCGUUGAUAUCGUAAGGAACACCUGUGGCGAAAGCGGCUUACUGGGUCUUUUCUGACGCUGAUGCACGAAAGCUAGGGGAGCAAACGGG